UCCCAGAAACUGGUUUUACUGGUGUAAUAGUACAGUGUUGGGCAGAAGAAAAAAAAAUAAUAAAAUACUCGGUGUCAAUUCCUUUUGCCGUAUAAUCCUACAGGGGCAAGCCUUAUUGAAUACUGUAACGGCCUUCUGAAGGCUGCCCUGAAGACGUGUGAGAGUUCGAUUAUGUUUUUGCAGUGGAGGUUUCCAGUAUUUCUGUACGUACCAUGGGUGAACUUGGCUUUCACAAAGAAAGCUUCCAAACAGAAUCAAGUGAAGACUGGGGCAUUCAGACAUAGGUUUAAUUGGCGCAGGCACUAGGUAAGGUAAUUAUGUAGGGUAGGGGAGAGUCUGGUGCAGGGCAGAAUGCGUGUGCUAAUUUUCGAGAAUAUUGUCCUCCUGUUGCCAUAAAAAGUACAGAACAUCCUCAUAAACAAUGCGUUGGAAACAGACGCUGUAUGGAAAUGUAAGGUAGCAACAGUGAGGAAAGACGGUGAGUCUGAGACAUGGAAGCAACGAGCUCCAGGAAAGGCUUUACCUGCUUUGGGCCCAGGGUAUAUAACGGCAUAGUUUACAUCAACUAGCUGCGCAAUUUUUCCCUUGUUGUUAAGGGGCGUGCACCCAUCAUUGCAGUAAUGAAUAAACUGCUCUUCUCAAAAAUCUUUGCUUUAUUAGAAACCACUAUUGUGAGCGUGUGUAUGGGAACUGCUGAAUCACUGCCUGAACCUCUGAUGGAUCACCUGAGGUGAGCAAUGAGUCAUCCACUGGAGCACAGGUGAAGGCCAUUCCCCUGUGCUGUAGGAAGGGGUGCAGCCUGGCUCCACCUCUCCUAGACCUAUUUAAGAGCUGACUACCAGGGGGAAUGAACUCUUCUGGAGAUCCACUUUGCUGGAGUAUCACAAGCGAGCCCAGGAUACAGGAAGCGUCGUCUUCAAUAAUUAAGUUCCAGUGAAGUCAUAUGAGUUGUUAUGAUCGAAGUACACUUCAUCCAAGAAACAUGACCUGCCUCCAGUGGAGUGAACCUUACUUAACUAAAAAAAUGACCCCAACAUCAUGAACUGUAUCACCUGCUGGUAUGAGUCAGAGAAACCAGAGAAGUGACAGGGCACUGUUAAAAAGCUUUCCAUGGCUGGAUGGUAAGGAACGGGAGAAUAACCCGUGGCUCAAAGUUGAUAUGGAGGCAGCCAUUUCAGACACGAGCAGCUGGAGAACGCCUGGCUGAAAAUGCGUCCUAUGGCACCCAUGAAUGGUAAGACCUGCAAAACAAGUUUUGGAAGUUAAAGACUGACUACUAUGACUGCACUGGAAAGAGAACAGAGUUAGUUUCUGCUGAGGAAAGAAAAUCUGUCUACAUGUCCCUGACCAGGUGUGCUGGAAAAAGACGAUAUGAUGGGAUAGUGUGGUGGUGACUGCAGGUUCUCUGUAAGCUGCUAAAUAGAAUAUUGUCCUUGACUAGUAGCAAAUGAUCCAUGUACUCCACAAACCUUUGCAGCUUCGAAUGUGCAAUGCUUAGUAUGCUAAGACUAACGACGCUGUCAUGCUGCAAUGGAUCACAAGAAAGGAAAAGGAAUAGUUACAGUAAUGAAAAUCAAGUAACAAAAAGGACAAAGGAAAUGAAUAAAAAGGUUUUAAAAAGGUGACUGGUGAGUGUGCUUUAUUAAUCUCAUCUCAUCUCAUCUCAUCUCAUCUCAUCUCAUCUCAUCUCAUCUCAUCUCAUCUCAUCUCAUCUCAUCUCAU